GUAAGGAUAGUCGUUUUGAGUACGGAUCUAUUUCGAUAUUAUGAUAAGAUUGAUAGAUCGAUCAAUAUCGAUGUAUCAAAAAGAAAGAAAAAGAAGAGAUACGACGGUGGAUUAUACUUUUCUUGCAGUGGAGGAUCAUGACUUGUGUUUUUGUUAAGGGAUAAAGCCACGAGGUUUCAGGUGGCCGACUUCCUUGGCCGCUGCUACUGGUGCGGGAAGAGGCUGCACGGGGAAGACAUCUGCAUGUACAGAGGGGAGACGGCAUUUUGCAGCGCGGAGAGCCGUCACCGGCUGAUCGUCAGCGACGAGUACCGGGUGAUAUCGAGCUCUCCAUGCUCCGGCGGAGGAGCAACCCGAGGUUUCUAGGCAUGAUGAUAGUAGUAUCAGAGCACUGUAAUCUACAGCUGUUUGAGUUCAGGAAAGAUUUUCCUGUUGACUCAAGAAAACCAUCAGUUUUGCAUCAUGAAGAACCAAAAGAUGCACUGAGGUCUUCACAUGUUCUUCAUGAUGAUUAGUAAGAAAAAGAUUGGCCAAAACAUAGAGGGGAUUUAGUCAACCAAAUCAGAAAAAGACUAGAAAAGAAAAGAAGAUCAAUUGUGAGAAGGUCUUCACAAAUCUUUUAAAGUUCAUCAUUUUGUUUUGUUUAGCUAACAUUUUGCACAAGAACUCGAGAAAAAGUUCAUUACCUUUGUACUCCUUUUCUAUCUCUUCUUCCCUUAGUUUCUGCCAAAUGCUUGGCAUAUGAUGCUUCAAAUGUUUCACCCUCUACUCUUCUAAUGCUUUCCCUCUCUAUGACCCCCUCAGCCAUUCAUAUAGUGGAAGAGA